CAGUCGCCGCGGUAAUACGUAGGUGGCAAGCGUUGUCCGGAAUUAUUGGGCGUAAAGGGCUCGCAGGCGGUUUCUUAAGUCUGACGUGAAAGCCCCCGGCUCAACCGGGGAGGGUCAUUGGAAACUGGGAAACUUGAGUGCAGAAGAGGAGAGUGGAAUUCCACGUGUAGCGGUGAAAUGCGUAGAGAUGUGGAGGAACACCAGUGGCGAAGGCGACUCUCUGGUCUGUAACUGACGCUGAGGAGCGAAAGCGUGGGGAGCGAACAGGAGUAGAUACCCGGGUAGUCCCUGUCUCUUAUAC
rnacentral:rRNA from 1 species